GGAUCUGCAUAAGUUGGUACCUUGAUUAGCUCGGACCUUGCGAGGAGCGUCGCCUUUGCACGGCGGAGGUCAGGGGUUCGAAUCCCCUCGGCUCCA
rnacentral:tRNA from 1 species